CGGUAGAGUGAAUAAAAAAAUACUUCAGAUUCAGAUAUAAACGUUAUGUAAUAUAUUUUUCGGAAUAGAAAUAUUUUUUUCUGCCAAACAAAGAAAACAAAAAGACCAGUCUGCAUAUUAUAAUACAUUUUUCCCCGUGAUCCGAAUCGCGGCCGCGGGGUUUUCUGAAAGUGUGCACAGGUAACACACGUGUUUCCGUUUCAACGAAAACAACAACCACACAACAAACGUUUGUAAUGUAUUUUACAUCUUGAAUACGACCUGAUAUCAGAUGAAGAAGUCUGAAGAUAUCCUGGAUAUCCUGUUGCAGGGUGACCCAAACGACCAUGCAUUCAGUAUAAACAUGUUAUUGACAUCCCAAUAUUUAGUGGGAAGCUUCCAGGUAUCUUCCACUAGUGACAGUCUACUGGCAAAUCCAGACAUGCAUUGGAAGUAUGUUGAUGUGGAGGACACAGGGACACCUGAUCCAAGAACUGUGGCAUUUCAUUCGGAGUGACAACCUGGCAUUCAGUUGAUAUGGGACCUGAUUAUUCAGAGAAUUGCAGAUUUUAUGAAGCUGUUUUUGACAGAAGAUUUGGUUUUCUCCAUUUGUGUUGCCAUUAACCAUUAUGCUGUGAUGGUCAUAUCUAGGGGGAGGGAUUGUCAUAUGCUU